AUAAUACUCCCUCCGUCCGGAAUUACUUGUCAUCAAAAUGGAUGUGUCUAGAACUAAAAUACAUCUAGAUACAUCCAUUUCAAUGACAAGUAUUUUUGGACGGAGGGAGUAGUAG
rfam:Triticum aestivum genome assembly, contig: Triticum_aestivum_CS42_TGACv1_scaffold_131743_2BL